rnacentral:sRNA from 1 species
AGAUCACAGCACAGUGCUGAGAAAGUCUUGGCUAGGCCAAUGGGGAGUCCCCAAGGAAAGAUGCCCAAGACUGGAAUCCUGCACUGGGCAGAAUCCUGCACCAGCACCAGCACCAUUACCCCUGACAUGCUGAGUCACUGGCUAGGAACAGCCUGGAGGAAGCAUUGUCUCACUGUGAAUGCAAUGGCAGCUCCAAAGAGGCAGAGGCAUGUCCUUAUCACAGGCAAGGCAGUGAAUCCAAGGCGGCAGGAGACCUGGGGCUGUCCAUCAACUCUGCUUUCUUCUGGUCCUCCUGAAGGCGAUCUGGGAAGGGCAGUUUGAAUGGACUGACGGCUCAUCCUAUGACUACAGCUACUGGGAUGGCAGCCAGCCAGAUGAUGGCGUCCACGCGGACCCAGAAGAAGAGGACUGCGUGCAGAUAUGGUACAGGCCUACCAGUGCUCUGAGGUCAUGGAAUGAUAACACCUGCAGCCGGAAGUUCCCCUUUGUCUGCAAAAUCCCAUCUCUGACCAUUCAUUGAUCCUGUCUUGUCCUACUGGUGUGAGCUCAACUCUAGUAUCAUCUUGUAGCUGUACCCAGUGUAGAAUUGACAUUGAAUACAUGUAAAACAUACAUAGGAAGUAAAUCUCUUGGACAGAGAUUUUAAACAAGCAGAUCUUAAUUAUACAGGGUGGUCACUUGGCCAAGUGUCAGGAAAGCCAGCUCAAAUUGGCUUAAUUUUUUAAAGUGUUUUUUUUUUUAAUUGACCCAAAUAACAAAAAUCCAGGGGUUGUUCUGAUUCAGAGUUGAAUCUCACUGGCCUGGCUUGGGUCACAUGCCCAUCCCUGAAGCAAUCACUUUGGCAUAUGCUAAGUGGCUAGCUCCUGCUUAGCUGUACAUCUUUGGACAAAAUGGGAUGGAAGUCACAUUAUCAGAGGGGCUGGGAGUGGGGGAAAAUGGGGGGGGGGUGUUGGUCAAAGGAUACAAACUUUUGGAAUUAAGAUUAAUAAGUUUGGGAGGCUUAAUGUACAGCAUGGUGACUAUAGUUAAUAAUAAUGUAUUGUAUUCCUGAAAUUUGCUACGAGAGUAAUUUUUUUUUUUGAGACAGAGUCUCACUCUGUUGCCCAGGCUGAAGUGCAGUGAUGCAAUCACAGCUCACUGCAGCCUCAACCUCCUGGGCUCAGGUGAUCCUCCCAUCUCCAGUCCCCAGAGUAGGUGGGACUACAGGACGCUACAGGCGCAUGCCACCACAUCUGGCUAACUUUUGUAUUUUUUUUUUUUAAAUAGAGAUGAGGUUUCAUCAUGUCAUCCAAGCUGGUUUCGAACUCCUGGGCUCAAGGGAUCCACCCACCUCAGCCUCCCAAAGUACUGGGAUUACAGGCAUGAGCCACUGCGCCUAGCCAAGAAUACAUCUUAAAUAUUCCCGUCAACACAUGGGCUCAAAGAUGAGGCUGGUUCUUCAAAGGAAAACAAAAAGAUUACCAAACUCAUAAAUUGCUGGUGGGAAUGUAAAAUAGUGAAGCCACUGUGGAAAAGUUUGGCAGUUCCUCAAAAAGUUAAACAUAGAAUUACAUCUAAGCCAGCAAUUCCACUCCUAGAUCUUGACCUAAGAGAAUCGGAAACAGGUAUUUAAAUAUAAGUGGUCGGCCAGGUGUAGUGGCUCAUGCCUGUAAUCCCAGCACUUUGGGAAGCUGAGGAGAGAGGAUCACUUGAGCCCAGGAGUUGAAGAUCAGCCUGGGCAACAUAGUAAGACCCCAUCUCCAUAAGAAAAUUUUUUUAAUUAGCCAAGCAUGGUGAUGCACAUCUGUAGUCCCAGCUGUUUGGGAGGCUGAGAUGGGAAGAUCACUUGAGCCCAGGAUAUCAAGGCUGCAAUGGACCAUGAUUGUGCUUCUGCACUCCAGCCUGGGUGACAGAGGAAGACCCUGUCUCAAAAAACAAAAACAAAAAAAUAUGAUCACAGCAGCAUUAUUGAUAAAAACCACACAAAAAAAUGAAGACAACCCAAGUGUUCACCAACAGAUGAAUGACUAAACAAAUGUGGUCUAUUCAUAGGGUGGAAUAUUAUUCAAGCAUAAAAAGAAAUGAAGUAACGAUAGAUACUACAACCUGAAUGAACCUGAAAAACAUUAUGCUGCCAGUCACAAAAGGCCACAUGUUGUAUGAUUCCAUAUAUAUGAAAUAUCCAGAAUAGGCAAGUCUAUAGAGAUGGAAAGUGGAUUAGUGGUUGCCAGGGGAUGUGUGGAGGGGGAAUAGAAAGUGAGUGCUAAUAGGUAUGGGAUUACUUUGUCAGGUGACAAAAAUUAUCUGCAAUUAGAUAGUGGUAAUGGCUGCACAAUAUUGUAAAUGUACAAGAAGCCACUGAACUGUACAUUUUAAAAUAAUAGUUAAAAUGAUAAAUUUUACAUUA